ensembl:lncRNA
GUCCGUGACUGAAACCUCCCCGCCCCCGCCGCCUCCUCCCCCCGCGCCGGGGGAACCUCGCACACAUGUGACCCGGGAAACCAUGACAACCUCCCGCCGGGGACUGCGGCCCGCAGCGCGCCCCCCCACCCCGCACUGCCGGGAGGAGCGGGCGGGCGGCGGGAUGCGGCGCUCCUCUCAGGCUCCGGCCCCGCCGAGGGGGUUCCGCCGUCCCUGCGGUAUUUCACCGCUCAUUGCCGUUGUGCUUUUUUUUGUGGGCCACGGACGACCAUAAAGAGAUCCCCGCAUCGCUCGUAUGCGUAGAUACGCCAUACGUUCAUAGUCACAUAACGUAGGAAGCGCAGUGUCAGAAAACGCCUCCGGUCAUCUGGCUGCCUCGAGGUCCACGAUCACCACAUCUAGAGAAAGAAACAAUUGGAAAAGACAAAAGUUCCCUUUCAGCGCUGCCUCCCUGCCCGCGCUGCGGGGUCCGCCCGGUGCGGUGAGCAGGUGCUGCCGUCGCUGCCGUGCGCUCAGGGCUGCAGGCAGUGCCCGCGGGCCCGCUUUGUCACGGAGCUCUGCGGAAUGCUGCUCGGAAGUGGAGUCCUGGGAAGGCAUGAAAACCGGUUUGUAGUCGCCUCAGCGUGUGGGGAUGACAGCAGCAUGGAAUCAUUAAGGUUGGAAAGACCACUACAGUCAUCUAGUCCAACCGUCAGCCCAUCCCCACCAUCCCGCUAACCCAUGUCCCUCAGUGCCACAUCUCCAUGUUUCUUGAGCACCUGCAGGGGCAGUGACUCCGUCACCUCCCUGGGCAGCCUGUGCCAGCGCCUCACCACUCUUGCUGAGAAGAAAUUGUUCCUAAUAUCCAACCUGAACCUCCCCUGGUGCGAUUUGUGGCUAUUUUCUCUCACCCUAUCACUGUUACCUGGGAGCAGAGACCAACUCCCACCUCGUCACAACCUCCUUUCUGGCAGUGUAGAGAACAAUAAGGUCUUUCCUGAGCCUCCUCUUCUCCAGACCAUCGCAGUUCCCUCAGCCGCUCCCCAUCAGACGUGUGUUCCAUAUCCUUCACAGCUUUGUUGCACUUCUCUGGACACGCUCCAUGGCCUCGAUGUCCCUCUUGUAGUGAGGGGCCCACAGCUGAGCACAGAAAUUUCUGUCAGCCCUGGGUUUGUGCACAAAAUGAAUCAAUGGCCCAAAGGUCCAAGCUCAGGACCACUCUGCUGUUUGGAAAUUGCUUUUACUGGACACUCGCCAUUAUUUCAGCUGCCCUGAAAUGUACUUCAAAGAGACUUGGUGAGAAAAAUAGUCAAAAAUCAAGUUUGUCUCAGCAAGGAGAUAAUGAAUGUAUCUUGAUGACGAUGUGGCUUCAGCAAGUAACAAGAAGAAAAUGUAGCAAUCUCUGUGGUGCUUUUUUUCAUUCAAGCUAUGACCUCAAAGCCAUUUUUAAUUGGAUGCAUUUCCAAAUGAAGCCACUGCUCCCUGUAGAAGCAUUUUUCCAGUUGCACCUGGUUCACAAAUUGGACAUUAUGAACUUGGCAAACCCGUACAGUGAGUGAUCUGUGUUUAGGGGUGAUACCUCUGCUCUACAGCAGGUGAAAGACACCUCUACCAACAGAGUAUAGGACACUGUUCAGCAGUGUCUUGUGGCUUGCUUUCUCUCUGUGGGAAAAGCCAGUAUGGAGCACUGAUGAACAAAAUGAAGUUCACGGCUAUUUAGCACUGCCCAGCAUGAGAGAUAUCUCCAUAACCACACUAAGUCCUGAAGACAGGCCAUGAGCACACCCUACACUGCAGAAGGCUGCUCCUUCAGCAGGCACUGGGAACGCUGCAGCUUUCUUCUGGUGGCCAGGAGCCCUGGUUUCAGCCAAAGCACAGUGCCAACAUCACAUCAAUGCUGUGGUUGCUGCUGAGCAAUGGGAGCUUCCUGGGGCCCUUUAUGCGUGUCAGCAGGAGGUGGACAGAGCCCAGACAGGUGACCUAAAUUAGGCUGAGGGUUAUUCCAUACCUAUGUGACUGUAGAUAGCUGGCUUAGGGCUGACUGCUGCAAGAUCAAUGGGAUGGAAUGGUCUUAUGUUGUUUGUGGGCUGUUAAAUUAUUAGUUGGGCAUUGGUCAGUGAGUAAUUGCACUGUGGAAAUUACAUAUGUAUAGUUGUCAUCACAUUUUUUAUUAUUCUAUUUCCUUUUAUCAAUCUUAGCUUUCCUUUUAUCAAUCAAUAGCUUUCAUCUUAGCCUACUGGCAUAUCUCAACCAUACCUGUCCCUACAAAGUACUGCCAUGGUGCCAUGUAGCCACAUACAUUGCUGUCGCAAAGAAUCAUGUGCAGCAGGAGGGCUGACACCUGUAUGUUAUGGACAGGUGCUUCUCUUGGUCAUUCUAAAAGGAGCUUUAGCUAGAAAUGCCAAACUGGCUCAUUUACAAGUCUAGCUGCUCAAAGCCCUCUAACAGUGAGCUCUCCUGUUUGUGAUCAGGUUGAGAUAUGCCUGAACUUUGAGGAAACCAGGAACUGUUGACACUUGGUCCAACUAUCCACUUGGUGUCUAUGUUCUGUGAGCAUGUAAUAUUCCAUUUACUGGAGUCUUCAGGACUGAAUGGAUUGUUAUCUCUGAGGUUUUCUCCCAGCCAGACAAGGCUGUCUGUUAAUCCAGGAUUUAUCAGCAGCACUGUCUUUCACCAUGUAGUCAAGGACUACUCAGGCUUGCUAGAGCAUCCCAUUCUCCCAGACAUCAUUAGAGUGAAAGGAGAUUCCUCCUCUGGGGACAUCCUCAGGAGCCAGUCUUUGAUGUUUGUAGGCAGAACUGGCAUUGUUUGAAUAAGAGGCUCCUAAUUAGUGGCACUCUAAAGAACUACUCUAAUUUUAUAUUUUCAAAACACCCUAAAAUGUGUCUAGGAAGGCAGCUUGAGGUUUGGUGUAUCUCAAAGAAUGGCAGUGAGCUUUGCAGUUCAAGUUGAUGUCUUCUCUUUUCCUUCCUGUUCCAAGGAACUUGCCUUGACUUCAAAUUGCUUUUAAAUCCUUGUAAGGGGAACAGCUGUCCCAGAAUGUGUUACACUCCAGCAGAGUGAACAGUUAGGAUCAGUUCACACCUCUCUGAUGAGUUUUAUUCGUUUGUACUAAUUUUCAUGUGUCAUUCAGCAGUGAGCAUCAUCUUGACAUGAAAGAAAAUAUAAAACUUCACAAAUCUUUUUGUAUUGAAAAAGGGCUGGGGACAACACUACCCUGACAACUGCCAAGAAAAUUAAAUGAGGACUCCUGUUAUCUCCUUUCCUCCUUGCCAGUAGGUGCCCUCUUCUUAACACUGCUUACCAGCUUUGUGUGCCAAUCUGUUGCUUCAUCUGCUUUGAGGUGGUGGAAAAACUAGGAGAAUACAGGUAGCAGCUGAAAAAUAGCAUGUGCUGCAUCUCCUACAUGACAGCGCUAGCCAGCAUAUUUUGGAAACAGGUUGGGACUGCUUCUGUCAGAGAUCAGAGACAGAUCAUUUCUGAGUACACAGAGGAUACUGAACAGAAUGCAGAAGGGAGGGCAGACCCUAAAGGCUUAUUUUUACCAGGGUGAAUGAAGGCUUAGUAAGUUUAAUAAACUUGAGCUAAAUAUGUCAAUCCAGCAACCUUCUUUGUGCUAGCUUUCAACCAUUUGCCUGAUAGGGGCAUCUUUCUCCAGUGCUCCCAAAGGUGUUCUCAACACCCAUCUUCUCAUUAACCCUAACCCUAGCUGAGCUCUGCAAUGCAGUACAGGGAGAGGGGCAGAAGUAUGCUUUUCUCUAGAGUGGAAAGUAAACACCCUACUGGAGUACAAUACUUUUAAAAGUCCACUUUGUCGCCUUCUUGGAGGUGAGAGAGACUAUUGUGACCAGCUGCACAGCCAGCCCUGAAAUAAGAGACCCUGAUCUCUUUAUACGUAGUAGCAUUUGUCCUACAUGGGUAAGCUAACAGCUCACAGCAGUGGUAUUCAAUGGAAAGAGUUUGUAUUGUACUGCAGAAGACACAGGACAAAAACUGGCCCUAAACCUAUUGCAGCAUAUAGAAGAAGGCUGACAUGUGGGAGUAUUUCCUGUUUGUUUGUUUGUUUGUUUAAUUUUUGCUUUGUGCUGACUUAAAUCUUUUGUCUUGACUUCUGAAAUUGUAAAUUCAGACGCACUUUGCAUUUGGCAUGAUUAAAAGCUGCUGCUGACAAGCAACUUGAAAAUGCCUUCAUGUUUUAUGUGUAUUUCAAAAUCUCUUCAGCUGUAUGCCUUUGCAGGCUCUUGAUCUAGCAAUAGCUGGUUUGUACAUUUUGAGCAACGGGUUAGUAAGAAUCACGCACUAUUUCUGAUCUUCCCAAAUACCUUUAAGAUGUCACAUAAAUUGAUCUUUUUUUUUUUCUUCUCAGUUUACAAGGCAGCUCAUGCUGCCUUGCUUGGCAAAUCUUAUUUACUGAAUUCUCUUGUUAACAGAUUUCAGUGGUAGUCAUUCAACCAUAGAUUCUUUCAGCAAUAACAAAACAUGCAGCUGUGCAGGUUCAUUCUUUUUUUUUUUCUUCAGAUUAGAAUGAUAUAUCACUACUAUUAUUGUGCCAAAUCUUUUACCAGAACAUAACCUCUUUAUCAGAAAAAUGUUCAGUUCUAUCAACAGCAUAAUAAACUGGUGUCUGUAAUUCAAGGAUCAAGUGUAAAUGCAUUCCUCAUGACUCUCCCUUGACUUGAUUCUCCAGUUCUUCUCAUACCUUUUGCUCUGGCUGCUCUUACUGUUCUUUUCUUGCUGUGGAUUUGAAGCACCUAACUCUUCCUGUGUUUAACACAUAUCCAGAGGGAGCAAGUAUCCACUUACAUACUCAGGUAAAAUUCUUACUUAUGUUUCUUUACUUUUCUGCUCACUCUAGCUCUACUCAACUCAAAACUGGGCCUUCCAGGAAGUAAUAGCUUCGUGUCUUAUUGUGAACACUACUUACAGUGGUCUCUUCAGUGAAUGAACAGUGAAUGAACAGUGAAUGUAGGUAUGCUUUGAAAUCCAUUGGUUUGUAGUCCUUGGUAUUCAGAAACUGCUGGAUACCCUCUCUUAGAAAAUCGGUCCACUUUAUGUGCCUCAGUUUGGACACUGACAGGCAAUCACUUGUCAUUUCACCAAAAAAAAAAGAGUCAAAUCUUUAAAGUCAGUAUAGUGAGUGCUGAAUUUGCCAUUAAAAGCAAACUUUCCUCUCAUUUUGAUGUAAUGAGAUAAAAUGACAGCAUAGCUGUAGUAGACAGGCUAUUUUAGGGAUCUUAUGCUCAUGCAGUGUCCUGUUCACAAAAAAUGGCAUUCUACACUGUCAACACAACCUGUUAAAUGGCUAACAAACAUCUCUCAAACUACUUGACAACAGCAAGUCAUCAUCAAAUGGAGGUGUUGUUCCCCAGGGACUGACAGUAGGCUGUUUCUGUUCAACAUCUCCCACAGUCUUGUAGAAGUAAAUAUAAAUGUUGCUGAUGCAAUAUCCAGGUGUCAUAGAACCCAGUUAGAAUGGUGGUAUCAGUGAGCUCUGCUAAGCACAAAGCGGCCUGGAUAACUUGUCCAUUUAAAUGAAAUCUUUCUUCACACACCUACAUUUUAAGUGAUUGACUUCAGAACAAAGAGCGCAAGAUGUUUCUACAGAGUGGGAGGAUUUUAUCUUGGAAAGCAGUGCUUCUGAGAGAGUUGAGGGAUCAAAAUGGAGAAACAGCUCAACUUCUCAACUUGAACUCCCAAUAUAAAUCUGUAGCAAAAUGGGCUAAUGAGAUUCUUGGGUGUUUCAGGAGGCAAAAAGUAAAUGGGAAAGGGGGAUUUGCACUUUGUUUGGCACUUUUGAGACCAGGACCAGUGUACAGCCUCUAAUUUUGGUGUUGGUGUGUUUAAAAGAAUAUUGAAAAAUAAGAACUGUGCAGGAAAGAUACAGGAAUACCCAUAAGCUGAAGAAAAUGCCUUACGGUGAAACGACGGGGAAAGCUCAGCAUUUUUAUCAAAAGGAAGAUUGAAAUUUGACCAAAUUAUAAAUGCUUCCAGAAGGGAAAAACACAAGGUAAAGAAGAUUUUUCAAAGUAACCAAGGAAUACAACAAGAAAACAGUGGCUGGAAAUUGAAGUAUAGCCUUCCAACCAUGGUCAAUGAUUAAUAUAUAUUUAACAGCAAAGAUUAAACAGUUGUAAUCCAAGGUUGAAGAGAGGUAGUACAUUUCCUGCCCCUUGACGUCAGCUCUGUAUUCCUGCUUGGAUAACAGCGUUUAUCAAAAAAAUUGUCAUUAUGCAUAGUAAAAGAGGCUUAUACCAAAUGAUCUGAAUGAUAAAGUCUAUUUUGAAUAGUCUAGAUAGUUUAUUAUGAAUAUGAAUACAGUCUAGAUAGUCUGGUAGUUCCUUCCAGCCCCUUUAAUGUAAAGAAUAGAAUAGGUCUUGUUUAUCAGAAGUGGCUCAACAUCUCCUCUUGGAACUAAAACUCUUUAAUGUCUCUAAAUUAAUACUCAAAGUAACCAAUUAUUUUGAGAAGAUUAUGGCUGUGGUCUUAAAAAUUCAGUGUAACAAACUUUUCCACUAUUAAUGCAAAUAAAAAUGGUGCAGUAACUGAAAUAAGGUAUGACACAGAAACUGUCAUACCAUGCAGCAAAUUAUUGAUAUCUCCGAGAUGAAAUGAAACACAAAUAUCCUAAAAUAGUAUGGUAUUUCUUAGCUUUCAUGAAAUAUGAACCGAUAAUGGGAAAUUUAUGGUAAAAAUAAAUAUGCUUUUAAAAAUUUUCAGUCGCUAUUGUGGUUGCUUGAGUAUUAUUUAAAUGUAAAAGAGCUGCAAUGAAUAGAUAGCUUUGCUUUUUACUUCCCGUGAGGUACCUGGAGAAUCUGAUGAUUUGUGAAAAAGGGGAACCUCCUUGCUACAAAACCUCUUCUCCUUUUACUUGUCCUGGGCUUAGCUCUGAAAUCUUCAAAUUAUCUGCUGUGCAGAGAAAACAGGGUUCAAAGGAGUAGAAAUGGCUGUUGGAUGGGCAAAAAAACCAAAACCUCACAAUUCCUUUCCUUGUAUUGCUCAUUACCUGCCAACUUUCCUCCCACCAAAUAUCUAUUAUAAGUAUUAUUACACAUUUCUUGGGACUUAACUUCCAAAAGGAGCGACUUUAAGCUGCAGAGUCUGUGAUUCUAUAUCCUCUCCCAUGGAAGAGGCAUUAAAUGCAUUUGUUUUGCUUUGCUUUUCUGAUGGAUUUAAUGGCUUUUUUUUUCUUUUUUUUUUUUUUUUUCUCAGAAAAUACUGUUUACUGUUUGCAGAAAGAUUAAAGCGUCUACAUAACUAUUGGUUCAGUAAGACACAUAAGAACCAGCUGAAAUGUUUUCCUGUGUUUGAACCUUAAUCUAGUAGUAGUAUUCCUGCAAACAUUCAUCCUGUGAAAACUAAGAAUAGUAUUAUUCUGACCCUAAUUGAUGAUACGUUUCUUUCUACCUUUGGGUGUCUCUGCAGAUCUACAGCCAACUUGAAUUGAGUGGACACACCAGGCUGUGUGACUGGCAGCUUUGUGCAUUAGUGGGCAUCAGACCUGAGUUCAGCUAUUGCCGAGUCUGUGAGGGAAGGUGUGUGGCUGGAAUUGGAAACACUGGAUUUGAGAGAAGAACCUUAAUUCAAACCAGCAGGCUUUAAAGGACAAAUGUGGACAGUUCAGAGCUGUGUGCUAGAGAGCCAAGUCUUCAGUUUGUCUCAGAAUGGUUUGUUUAUAAGAACUGGCAAAUGUGCUUUUGAUUAAAGACAAACAUCCAAAUGCACUGACUUCUACAGAUUCUGGAACAGAAGGACUCUCACUCUCAUUUAUGCGUGCACACAUAAAUAUAUGUCUAUAUCUGAUAUUACUGUUUUUAUUUUGGUAGAACCUAGAGACCCCAUCACAUUAAUCAUUCUACAGAUGCAAUGUAAGUAUCUUAACAUAGUUGGCUUUCGGUAAGGUAAGACUUGCUAGUUAGUGUGGGUUUAUGGAUCUUAUUAUUCCAUCUUAAGGAUGAGAUUAUUUUUUAUAUUUUUAUCUUGAAAGAGAAAUAUUUACAUUUUUAAGUAAAAUCUGUAACUGUACCACCCUUUCAAUAUUCCAACUUUAGCCCCAAGAGUAGAAGACAGUGCCAGACAUGCAUUCCCUUGUGUUUUUUAUCGUUGAUUUUGGUAUGCUCUAUUUUUAUUCAAUUCUAUGGGAAAUGCAUACACUUUGUGCAGUUGCCAGAAUGCGAUUCCCCAAUGCCCUCUCUUUAUUUCCAAGUGUUCUUUUUUCAGAUUCAAGUCCUCUUGCGACAGCACUUUCUCUUGUUUGAUCAAGUAAUCCUUGCUCAUACUGAACCCAUUUGCUGAGGACAACACUUAUGUACGCGGAGCUGAAAGGGCAGACAUCUGAGUUAAGGAAAGUCUCCCACCCUGACAGUAAUGAAUUACCCAGCAGAGCCUUCAAGCAAAUAGGAAAAGGAAGAAAUGUGGUCUCAAGGACAGAUAGGUAGGUUGGUAGUCUUUCGUAUUUCUUCGUCCUGCCUUGAGUUAUACCUCAUAGCUCAGGUGUGUGCUUGUUCCCAGAGGUUUGAUCUACAUGGCUGCUUGAAGAGAGGGUUAUACACACUUCCC